AGUGAACGCUGGCGGUAGGCCUAACACAUGCAAGUCGAACGGCAGCACAGGGGAGCUUGCUCUCUGGGUGGCGAGUGGCGGACGGGUGAGGAAUACAUCGGAUUCUGCCCAGUCGUGGGGGAUAACGUAGGGAAACUUACGCUAAUACCGCAUACGACCUUCGGGUGAAAGAGGGGGAUCGCAAGACCUCUCGCGAUGGGAUGCGCCGAUGUCGGAUUAGCUAGUUGGCGGGGUAAUGGCCCACCAAGGCGACGAUCCGUAGCUGGUCUGAGAGGAUGAUCAGCCACACUGGGACUGAGACACGGUCCAGACCCCUACGGGAGGCAGCAGUGGGGAAUAUUGGACAAUGGGCGCAAGCCUGAUCCAGCCAUACCGCGUGGGUGAAGAAGGCCUUCGGGUUGUAAAGCCCUUUUGUUGGGAAAGAAAUCUUUCAGGCUAAUACCCUGGGAGGAUGACGGUACCCAAAGAAUAAGCACCGGCUAACUUCGUG
rnacentral:rRNA from 1 species